CGGACCGGCCGCUCCUAUUAAACACGUUCAGGCUGUAGCGUCUAAAGAGACGAACAACGAUGUUCCUGAAUCAGACGUCUUGAAAACGGAGCGGCCAUGUGUCUGAAGCAGCAGGAAACGUCCUGACGCCUCAGAGAGCAGGAGGUUCAGCUGGUUGACGCGUCAAUGAUUGGUGGAGGUGGGACCUGGAUGUGUCCUGCUGUGAGGCACAACACCUGGGAUUUGAACCCGUGACCUCACUGUGAGUGCUGCUGAUGAAGCCUCGCGGUCACCUGCAGGAUCAGCGCCGACAGACAGACCCACAAGUCUUCAUUUCCUGUUUCGCCUUAAACCAACUAUUUCCAAUCUUUGGGAAAAAAAUGCUACCUGUUUUCAGGUAAUAUGAUAAACAAACACAGAGGUCAGCAAAAGGUCAGAUUUUAGAAUCCAGGAAGGAAACGGGUAUCCAGAU